rnacentral:sRNA from 1 species
ACCUCUCCAGUCUUGCAAUAAUUCUUCAUAUGAUGGUCAGAGAGGCGAUUAGAAGGCAAAUGUGGAUAAAUUCUUCUCGUGAGGAGCUCACCCAAGAGGACUCGAGGUUGUGCCCCGUGUGUAAACCAUGGGGAAAUCAUGCACAUGCAGGUAAGGACCCUGGCCUAAACCGCCAGCUCACCCAUCUUCUCAGCCCGCCCUCCAGUACCACAGCCCUGCCGGAGACCAUCUAUUCCUUACCUGCUGACUGGACUUUCUUCACAUAAGAACCCCAGAGUGGCACUGCUAAGUCUAACCCAUGCCUGCAGCCUACCAAAGACUUUCUUUCACAAUGGACUGUGAUGUGGAUGUGGUCUCUCUGCUCCAACUCCAGCUGCCAUGCCGGCUGCUUGCCACCAUGCCUCCCACCAAGAUGGAUUCUGCUCCCUCGGGACCUGAAAACCAAAA